GACGAACGCUGGCGGCGUGCUUAACACAUGCAAGUCGAGCGGUAAGGCCCUUUCGGGGGUACACGAGCGGCGAACGGGUGAGUAACACGUGGGUGACCUGCCCUCAGCUCUGGGAUAAGCCUGGGAAACCGGGUCUAAUACCGGAUAUGACUCCAUGACGCAUGUUGUGGGGUGGAAAGCCUUGUGCGGCUGAGGAUGGGCCCGCGGCCUAUCAGCUUGUUGGUGGGGUGAUGGCCUACCAAGGCGACGAAGGGUAGCCGGCCUGAGAGGGCGACCGGCCACACUGGGACUGAGACACGGCCCAGACUCCUACGGGAGGCAGCAGUGGGGAAUCUUGCGCAAUGGGCGAAAGCCUGACGCAGCGACGCCGCGUGAGGGAUGACGGCCUGGUGUAACU
rnacentral:rRNA from 1 species